UUAAUUGAAACCAAAAUAGAGGUAAAUUAUUGUUAAUAAUUUUAUUGAAUUUAAAUUCCAAUUAAA
rnacentral:tRNA from 1 species